GCGCCGGUGGUGUAAGGCGUAGCAUCGCUGCUGGGAAGCAGAAGGUGCGGGUUCGAGUCCCGCCUGGCGCA
rnacentral:tRNA from 1 species